CAAAAAAGUCCAUAUCCAACGUUCUUAAUUAGCAUCAAAACAGAUAAAUCACGCUCAGCACGCUGAUGUAUUCUCUCAUGGUACAGCUCUUUCAGGUAGACCUGGUAUCCCAACUCUAUCGCCAUGUGACUUCUUAAAAACCUGCUUCUGGAUGUUACAAAAGUUUUUAAAUGAGUGAUGAGAUUACUCAAGAAAGAACGAACUCUGAUCAGCUUACUGAAGAGUGUUGGAAAAAACAGCUAAUUACUGUGUGGCACCUCCAAAUCCAGAAUAAUCUGGGCUUCGAAAGACCCUUCACACUAUGGCUGCGUCCAUAGGAGGAUGGUCCGUGUCCCCCCGCCGCGCUGUCGCUCUGCUCACUGUUUCAGCCCCGGCCCGGUCCGUGUUGGCACUGAUGCUGAGGCCUGGCUUACUGAGAGUCGGAUGUUGCAAACUGAGAAGUGUUUCUCAUCAGAGGGGUGGCAGGAGCAAAUGCAAUAGCAGUAGCUGCAGAGAACACCUCUGUCAUCACACGCUCCGGGCUACAGGGGAUGGCUUUCCUUACUGCUCUUAA
rnacentral:lncRNA from 1 species